rnacentral:rRNA from 1 species
GUCGAGAAUUUUUCUCAAUGGGGGAAACCCUGAAGGAGCGACGCCGCGUGGGGGAUGAAGGGCUUCGGCUCGUAAACCCCUGUCAUUUGUGAGCAAGUGUUAUUGUUUAAGAGAUGAUGACAUUGAUAGUAGCAAAAGAGGAAGAGACGGCAAACUCUGUGCCAGCAGCCGCGGUAAUACAGAGGUCUCAAGCGUUGUUCGGAAUUAUUGGGCGUAAAGGGCGCGUAGGCGGGAAGGUGUGUCGACCUGUAAAUCUAUCGUUUCAAGCGGUAGGCUUGGGUUGAAACUGCCUUUCUAGAGGAUUUCAGGGGAGUUUGGAAUUUACGGUGUAGCAGUGAAAUGCGUGGAUAUCGUAAGGAAGGCUUGUGGCGAAGGCGAAACUCUGGGGAAUACCUGACGCUGAGGCGCGAAGGCUAGGUUAGCAAACGGGAUUAGAUACCCCAGUAGUCC